CUUAUACUCCCUCCGUUCGAAAUUAUUUGUCGCAAAAAUGGAUGUAUCUAGAUUUAUUUUAGUUCUAGAUACAUCCAUUUUCGAGACAAGUAAUUCCGAACGGAGGGAGUAUUUA
rnacentral:pre_miRNA from 1 species